rnacentral:rRNA from 1 species
GACGAACGCUGGCGGCGUGCUUAACACAUGCAAGUCGAACGGAAAGGCCCUGCGUUUGUGGGGUGCUCGAGUGGCGAACGGGUGAGUAACACGUGAGUAACCUGCCCUUGACUUUGGGAUAACUUCAGGAAACUGGGGCUAAUACCGGAUAGGAUCUCCUGCUGCAUGGUGGGGGUUGGAAAGUUUCGGCGGUUGGGGAUGGACUCGCGGCUUAUCAGCUUGUUGGUGGGGGAGUGGCUUACCAAGGCUUUGACGGGUAGCCGGCCUGAGAGGGUGACCGGCCACAUUGGGACUGAGAGACGGACCAGACUCCUACGGGAGGCAGCAGUGGGGAAUAUUGCACAAUGGGCGGAAGCCUGAUGCAGCAACGCCGCGUGCGGGAUGACGGCCUUCGGGUUGUAAACCGCUUUCGCCUGUGACGAGGCGUGAGUGACGGUAAUGGGUAAAGAAGCACCGGCUAACUACGUG